GGCCUACCAUGGUGGUAACGGGUAACGGGGUGUUAGGGCACGACACCGGAGAGGGAGCCUGAGAAACGGCUACCACAUCCAAGGAUGGCAGCAGGCGCGCAAAUUACCCAAUCCCGACACGGGGAGGUAGUGACAAUAAAUAACAAUACGGGGUUCUUUCGGAUCUCGUAAUUGGAAUGAGUACAAUUUAAAUCUCUUAACGAGGAACAAUUGGAGGGCAAGUCUGGUGCCAGCAGCCGCGGUAAUUCCAGCUCCAAUAGCGUAUAUUAAAGUUGCUGCAGUUAAAAAGCUCGUAGUUGAAUUUCGGGACCAAUAUGUCGGUCGUGCUUCGGUACGUACUGUCAUAAUUGGUUUCUCCCUUCUGAAGAACCUUGAUGUCAUUAAUUUGGUGUCUUGGGGAAUCAGGACUGUUACUUUGAAAAAAUUAGAGUGUUUAAAGCAGGCUCGCGCUUGAAUACAUUAGCAUGGAAUAAUGAAAUAGGACGUUUGAUUCUAUUUUGUUGGUUUCUAGGAUCGACGUAAUGAUUAAUAGGGAUAGUUGGGGGCAUUAGUAUUCAAUUGUCGGAGGUGAAAUUCUUGGAUUUAUUGAAGACUAACUACUGCGAAAGCAUUUGCCAAGGAUGUUUUCAUUAAUCAAGAACGAAAGUUAGGGGAUCGAAGACGAUCAGAUACCGUCGUAGUCUUAACCAUAAACUAUGCCGACUAGGGAUCGGAUGAUGUUAAUUUUUUAAUGACUCAUUCGGCGCCUUACG
rnacentral:rRNA from 1 species